UUUUUUUUGCCCUCAGAAGGAAAGUGCAUCAGAGUUCGCAUCAUGUUCUGGGCUCCCUUCCUUCUCUCGUUGUUCGUGCACUCCUCAGGAUCCUUUGCUCAGUAUGUCCUGACCCAGCCGUCAUCCGUGUCUGUCUCCCUGGGACAGAAUGAAAGGAUCACUUGUUCAGGAAAUAACAUUGGAGGAAAGAGUGUUCAGUGGUACCAGCAGAAACCUGGGAAUCCUCCUGUUCUGAUUAUAUAUGGUGAUAGCCGCAGGCCUACAGGGAUCUCAGAUCGAUUCUCGGGCACCAACUCUGGCAACACGGCCACCCUAAGCAUCUCCAGGGCCCAGGCUCAGGACGAGGCCGACUACUACUGCCAGGUGUGGGACAGUAGCCAGUGCACAGUGAUACAAACUAAGGGGGAAGUGCGACAAAAACCUGCUUCUGAGGCGUUCAACCUUCUGGGCUGGCUUGGAGAAGCUCAACCAUACCCCAAAAAAAGGAAGAUCUCCCUGUUCCUUGGAGAGAAAAAGAAUGCCAAGCCAAGAAUCUCCCUGGGGCGAAGUCUACCUUAUGACUCCUGGCCUCCCUAA